GCAGGCUUCCGUCGGUCUCCAUGGUAACGUUUUUGAUGCCGCCAUCGCUCGUUUGUUUUCGCUCUUCCUGCUUUUCUUCGACAUUUCAGGAUGAGGAAGAAGAAAAGCGACUUUAUUUGGUUUCUGUUAGACUUGAGUUUCACUCUCUGAGCGGUGAGUUUAAAUUGUUUCCAGAAAAGGUUCGGUAGCGCCGGUUCUGUUCAUGUGGACCAGGUCCGGUUCUUUUUAGGGUUCUAGAUUAGCUUUUUCAUGCGAACAGUCUCCGGAGUCUGGAGCUGAAGUUGGCCUCUGAUUGGGAGGUCGAUUAAAGUGUUAUUUCACUGAUUUUAAGGCUCAGGAAUCUGUUGAAGGUUCUGCUCCAGACGCAGGAGAAGACGCAGCAUGCAGGUGCUGCCGCCCUGGGGCCUCGACCUCCCUCUCCCUGCAGUGAUGCUGAUCGCCGUCAGUCUCUAUAUGAUGGUUCUGGGGGUCGGGCUGUGGGUCCGCUACUGCCUCAAGGUUGGUUCUGAUGACUCGUUGGAUCAGGGUUGGUUCUGAUGGUGCCCUGCUUUAAUAUUCACACCCUGAACAACCAUCAGAAUACGGUUCUAUUGGGUUUUUGAACCAGAAAAUAAUUUUUGGUUUUCGACAGUUUUACAAGUAAAAGCCUGAAAAGUGUGGCAGGCAUCCGUCUUCCGCACUCCUCUCCCCUGGUGUUUCCACGGCAACCUUUGGUCUGAAGCCAUCCAGCUGGUCUGAUCAGGAGGCAGAAGCGUGACUCAGACGAUGCAGCGCUAAUGAAGAAUGAUCAGACUUUAACUAGACACCUGAGGCCUCAUGUAUCAAACACUGUGCAGUUUUCACACUAAAACUUGGAGUUCGGACAAAUUUAGAAAAGAAAAUCUGGAUGUAUAAAAUCGUACGCACACUCUCAUAGACAGUAUAAGAUACAAACCAUCCUCUUACAAUCAUAACAUUUAAAAAACUGAAAACAACCUUCAUUACUAACAACCGAUUCCAAAACUAUACCGUAUAAACCAAAAAUCACAAUUCCAGUUGAUCAAUAUUAGAAAUACCCUAUUAAUAAAUUAAACGUACCUUGUGCCUCUGUCAUGGGGGCCUCUAAUAAUAAGAUUUAUUUAUAACACUGUUGCAACUUUUCUUCUGUUCUCUCUGUUGCCAAGCAGCCGCUGCACAACACAAACAGCGGAAGCUCUCCCAUCAAAAUAAAAGCAUUAAAUUCAAAAACCAGAAGUCAACUAACAAAAUAAAGGCAAUAAACGCUAAAAAAGAACACAACAAAUAAGGAGCUUACCCUGGGGUUAUUUACAAUAUAUUUUAUUUAAAAGGUGUUUUCAGGGCACAAAAAUAAUAAAUAAGAAACCCUCCAAAGUAAAGA